rnacentral:rRNA from 1 species
GACGAACGCUGGCGGCGUGCUUAACACAUGCAAGUCGAACGGAAAGGCCCUGCUUUUGUGGGGUGCUCGAGUGGCGAACGGGUGAGUAACACGUGAGUAACCUGCCCUUGACUUUGGGAUAACUUCAGGAAACUGGGGCUAAUACCGGAUAGGAGCUCCUGCUGCAUGGUGGGGGUUGGAAAGUUUCGGCGGUUGGGGAUGGACUCGCGGCUUAUCAGCUUGUUGGUGGGGUAGUGGCUUACCAAGGCUUUGACGGGUAGCCGGCCUGAGAGGGUGACCGGCCACAUUGGGACUGAGAUACGGCCCAGACUCCUACGGGAGGCAGCAGUGGGGAAUAUUGCACAAUGGGCGGAAACCUGAUGCAGCAACGCCGCGUACGGGAUGACGGCCUUCGGGUUGUAAACCGCUUUCGCCUAUGACGAAGCGUGAGUGACGGUAAUGGGUAAAGAAGCACCGGCUAACUACGUG